rnacentral:lncRNA from 1 species
CUCAGAAGGAACAAUCUUUUCAUAGAGAAUCCAGUAUUGUCCAGCAGAGAAGUAUUUAGGGAAACUCACUGGUUUCUGCAAAUUUGUUUGAAAAAAUAAUAAAGAGGUUUUUUUUUUUUCUGAGAAAGACUACUAUACUUAUUUAUUUAUUUAUUUUUUUCAGAUGGCAUCCUGAAUUAUUCUUGAGAGUAGAAAGUUCAUUUUUGAAGAUGCUGAUCUGGACUCACAAAGACAGUGGUUGUUGGUGCAAUCUCUGUGCUGAACUUAAGUGCUCAGAAUCCUAUUUUUGUUCUGCAUGAAACAUGACUGGAAACUUCACCUUGAGAACCUUCCAUCAAAACCAGAGUAAGUCAGGCAAAGUGUUCAAGCACUAAUCGGGUGCAGUGGAAGGCACAAGGCACAACAUGACCAUCUCAUAAGAACAGCUAACUCCAAUCAAAUCAGUGAUUCAAUUAUCCCAGUGUCCUGCCUCCAACUGCUGCCAAAAACAGGCGUCUGGGGAAGGAGGUAAGAAUAGAAAGAGCAUUUAAUGACAAUUUCCCAAGAUACUUUUGCAGCCUCUGGCAAUUUGCAAUUGCUCUUGUUUCCCUAUGGAACCCAACUAAAAUCUGUCAGUCUCAGAUUUCAUUACUGUGAGACGUGAAGUCAGCCUUCUCAGUGUGAACUGUUAAACACCUGAAGUGCAGAGCAAGAGGAGCUCGUGCAAGACCUCAGGUUCUGCAUCUGUGAAAUAU